GGGGCUGAACGGUUUCGACUGCGUGCGUCAAGGUAGGGGAAGCGUGUCGGUGCAGGCUAGAGACCACCGUAAGCGUCAUAGCAACCAAUUAAGCGCCGAUAAGAAUCAGCGCGACUACGCCCUCGCUGCCUAAGCGACGGCUGGUCUGUCGGCCCGGGUGAGCUCUCGCCCCGGGUACCGGCAUCAUUCAGAGAGCUAACCGUUGCGGGCGGUCGCGGACCGCAAUGGGACAUCAAACAGCGACUGGGAUCGUCAUCUCGGCUUGUUCGCGUGACCGAGAGAUCCGAGUAGAGGCUUAGCGAACUGCACACGGAGAAGCCCUGCUGAAACGGCGAAGGACCCGGGUUCGAUUCCCGGCAGCUCCACCG
rfam:Williamsia sp. D3 Contig007, whole genome shotgun sequence.